rnacentral:rRNA from 1 species
AUUGAACGCUGGCGGCAUGCCUUACACAUGCAAGUCGAACGGCAGCACGGGAGCAAUCCUGGUGGCGAGUGGCGAACGGGUGAGUAAUAUAUCGGAACGUGCCCAGUCGUGGGGGAUAACGUAGCGAAAGCUACGCUAAUACCGCAUACGAUCUAUGGAUGAAAGCGGGGGAUCGCAAGACCUCGCGCGAUUGGAGCGGCCGAUAUCAGAUUAGGUAGUUGGUGAGGUAAAGGCUCACCAAGCCGACGAUCUGUAGCUGGUCUGAGAGGACGACCAGCCACACUGGGACUGAGACACGGCCCAGACUCCUACGGGAGGCAGCAGUGGGGAAUAUUGGACAAUGGGCGGAAAGACCUGAUCCAGCAAUAGCCGCGUGAGUGAUGAAGGCCUUAGGGUUGUAAAGUACUCUUUUACCCGUACGAUGAUAAU